ACUAUCUUGGCAGAAUCAAAUGCGGUAAAUUUAGAAUUUAUUUAUGUAAUUUUUAUUACAUUUAGUA
rnacentral:tRNA from 1 species